rfam:Hordeum vulgare subsp. vulgare, WGS project CAJW01000000 data, contig: morex_contig_197137
AUCAUACUCCCUCCGUUCGAAAAUAAGUUUCAUAGAAAUGGAUGUAUCUAGAUGUUCUUUAGUUCUAGAUACAUCCGUUUUUAUACAUUUGUGCGACAAGUAAUUCUGGACGGAGGGAGUAUGAA